rnacentral:rRNA from 1 species
CUACGGGGUGCUGCAGUGAGGAAUAUUGGUCAAUGGCCGAGAGGCUGAACCAGCCAUCCCGCGUGCAGGAUGACGGCCCUAUGGGUUGUAAACUGCUUUUCUACGCCAAGAAAUCUAAUUACGUGUAAUUAGUUGACGGUAGCAUAGGAAUAAGCAUCGGCUAACUCCGUGCCAGCAGCCGCGGUAAUACGGAGGAUGCAAGCGUUAUCCGGAUUCAUUGGGUUUAAAGGGUGCGCAGGCGGGCUUGUAAGUCAGUGGUGAAAUACUGCCGCUUAACGGUAGAACUGCCAUUGAUACUGCAAGUCUUGAAUAUGGUUGAGGUAGGCGGAAUGUGUUGUGUAGCGGUGAAAUGCAUAGAUAUGACACAGAACGCCGAUUGCGAAUGCAGCUUACUAAGCCAUUAUUGACGCUGAGGCACGAAAGCGUGGGGAGCGAACAGGAUUAGAUACCCCAGUAGUC